UAUGGUUGUGCCAGCAGCCGCGGUAAUACGUAGGGAGCGAGCGUUGUCCGGAAUUACUGGGUGUAAAGGGAGCGUAGGCGGGAUCGCAAGUCAGAUGUGAAAACUAUGGGCUUAACCCAUAAACUGCAUUUGAAACUGUGGUUCUUGAGUGAAGUAGAGGUAAGCGGAAUUCCUAGUGUAGCGGUGAAAUGCGUAGAUAUUAGGAGGAACAUCAGUGGCGAAGGCGGCUUACUGGGCUUUAACUGACGCUGAGGCUCGAAAGCGUGGGGAGCAAACAGG
rnacentral:rRNA from 1 species